rnacentral:lncRNA from 1 species
UGGUGACUAACAAAAUUCUGACAAGGAGGGCCAGUUGUGCAUCAGGUGGACUGAGCACCCAGCUGUCAUCCAUGCGUCUCUUGGGACUCAUCGUCAGAUGUGUCCUUCAUGUCCAGAGGCUGCUGCCUCAGGCCUUCCCUGUCAUCCAGCACUGUUACCUUCCACACUCCAUUCCAGGGGAUCUAGAGUAGGACUGGGGCACCCAGCCCCCAUUCACCCCCACUCUUGUUAUAAACCAUCUACAUGGCCCUAAUUCAUAUUGGAGUCCCAAAUCCAGCUUGUGGGCCAGCCCCGCUGUCUUGUCUGUGUCUACCUUCUAUGAGCGCUGCCUACCUGUUUGUGGUACCCUGUGAUGGAGGGCCUCACAGCCACACUAGUUACUGUAAGGCGGGCCUGCGGAGUCCCAUAAGUAGCAUUUGAGGACUCUCCUCUGUUCCCACCAAAGACCUUGUGCCUCUUGUAGUCCCUCCAAUGGCUCUGGCCACUGCUUCUUCAUCGGAUCCUGUUCUCCAGAAGCCCCAGAGAAUGGAUGGAGCUCGCUUUUGAAGCUGUUGCCCUCCUAGAGUGGUGGAGCUUGGGGGAGUACCGAGGUGGUCCUUCGCACCUUUGAGCCACUCUCUCCUUUCCUGGUACAGAAGUACUCAAGGCUUUGGCCACAAGCCCCUGUGAAGGGUGCCCCACAAGUAUGAGCUUGAGGAGGUUGGCGUCUCCCUCUGGGCAGUUGGUAGCUUAGCAUCAAGUCAGAGGAUGAAAGACAGGGAAGUCUUACAAAACCAGAGACAGGGACAGAGAGGGCAGGUCCUCAGGGUUGGGCCUGUGCUUUGUCCACGGUUUGUGGAAGUGCUGACAUCCAUGCAUUGGGGCCAGUAUUACAGACAUUUUGUGAGGUACCACCUCAGAGCAGAGGGGAGGGUACCAAGGUGGGGGAGCAGCUGACAAGGUGGGCCUGGCUUUGGGUUUCAAGAGCAAGCAAGGAUUAGCUUCAGGCUUUCUUGGCCCCGCCUCCUCCCCGUAAGGCCAAGCCCGGCACACUGCCCUCUGCCCUCUGGGACCCCUGUGAGGCUGUUCAGGACUCACAUGAGGAAGACCUAGGGGACAGUAUGGAAGUCUGGUACCUAAGAGUCAGGGUCUCAGCGCUGACACAGUUAGUCUGACCUGUGGCCCAGGCAGUUUCGCUCCAGCAGGUUACCAGGCAUCUAACUCCAGAACCUCUGACUUUCAGCAAGUUGGGCUGACCACAGCCCCCUCCAGAGUGUUUUUUAUGGGUCUGUUCACAGAUCUCAUUAAUGCAUGAAGGACAAGGAAAGACUUGCCACAAAGGUAAAAUGGAGAGGCUGCCAGUCUUCUUCAGAUGACCUUUAAAGCCUGCGCCUGUCCCUGUGUCCCCUCACUUCUUUUUUAAUUUCCUGUACUACCUUACAUCCAGAAAGGAUGGUGGAUGAGCGUCUUCAGGCCGUUCUCUGAGAAAGUCGGUCUGCCGUGGACAUCCUGUGGAACUGUACUGGCUCUGGGGGGAAGGGAAUGCAGGAUUUCCCCAGAAGCUCUACACUCCCUGUCCCCAGGACCCACUGCCUGUCACCCCUAGCUGCUAGUGUGCUGAGACAAGAAUGACUCACUGUAAAAGAACCUGCCCUGCAGAUGACUUAGAGAUGGAAAUAAAAGGAACGUGACAUUUACCGCUUUUUUUUUUUCUAUGCAGGACGUGAAGCUGCAAUGGCCCCUCCCUCUAGGCUGAGCAUGCUUAUCCAGGGCCCCAGCCCAAACAACACACAGGGAGGCCAUUAAUGCCUUCUGGUGGCAUCUGUAGUGAACGUAGAAUGUCCACAUG